UACGGGGGGGGCAAGCGUUGUUCGGAAUUACUGGGCGUAAAGGGCUCGUAGGUUGCCAACUAAGUCAGACGUGAAAUCCCUCGGCUUAACCGGGGAACUGCGUCUGAUACUGGAUGGCUUGAGUUCGGGAGAGGGAUGCGGAAUUCCAGGUGUAGCGGUGAAAUGCGUAGAUAUCUGGAGGAAUACCGGUGGCGAAGGCGGCAUCCUGGACCAUUACUGACGCUGAGGCGCGAAAGCUAGGGGAGCAAACGGG
rnacentral:rRNA from 1 species